rnacentral:lncRNA from 1 species
CAAGGAUGGUGGCUGGGGUUCAGUCUGCCGCUGCAAAUACCAAAAGCUGUCCUCAUUGAGUCAUCCCUCCCAGAGCAGGAAGAGCAGAGGUUCUGGGAAACAACCCCAAGGAGAGAGACAGGGCAUUUAUAAAACAGCAUGUAAGCAUCUCUGCAGUUGCUGUCCCCAGAGCCCACUUCCUGGAUAUUGCCAGCUGCCUGGACCAACCUUUCCGAAAGAUCAGCCAGGUCACAGUGAGGGUCAAAGGUGAGGCAACACCCGGCCUGCUUCAGCUUGCCCCCCGUGGGCUGCACCCACUGUCCAACCAGUCCCAAUGAGAUGAACCAGGUACCUCAGUUGGAAAUGUGGAAAUUACCCAUCUUCUCUGUCAAUCAUGCUGGGAGCGGCAGACUGGAGCUGUUCCUACUCAGCCUUCUUGGAACAGAGCCCCCCUCACAAAGGACUUUCUCUGGCUAACUCUGAUGCUUUUCUGAGUUCUUACCUAAAUUUCCCCUUCUCCUUCUGUGGCCCUGCCAGUUUUGUUUUGUUUUGUUUUGUUUUGUCCUUAUCACUACCCUUGCUGCCUCCUCAAAUUAUCCAGAGCCACUGUUGUUUUCUAGAACAUUGGCAAGCACGUUGAUAGAGUGCCCACAUUGUACUGAACUCUGAGGGGAAUAGUCUCGUCCCCAUCACUCAGGUGGGGAAACUGAGCAGGAGGCCACUGGAGGCUCCAAGGGCUCUGAAAUGUUGAGAACUUCCCUGCAGGUACCAGCGAAGAGGGCAAGAACACAGCACUACUUCCUUGGAUACUGUUUCCCUCCUCAGAGGGGUUUUCUGAGCUGCCCUGGGUCCUGUGAGGAAGAUCUCCCCUUCCUGUAAAGACACCAGUCCUACUGGAUCAGGGCCCACCCGUGUGACUUCACUUUUACUUGAGUACCUCUCACAGACCCUAACUCCAAAUCAGGUCACUUGCUGAGGUACUGCAUGUGAAGACUUUGACAUUUGAAUUUUGAGGGGGCCACCGUUUAACCUGAACCACCAAGGACAGAGCCAAAGACCCUGGGUGACAGGCCCAGAACAGGACCUGGUGGAGGCUCUUCUUUAGGGGAGAGAGGGAAAUGGGAGCCACCACUGGCAGAGCCUGAAGGCAGGGCAGCCAGAAAGAAGCUGUGGGAGUCCCCACCAUGGAAGACCCUGCCGAGCAUCCUGUGUCUCCUGAAGCAGACCCUGACAUGAGGACUGGGGGCACGUGUUUAUUAAGGGCGAUCCCCGGAAGGAGGAGAUAACCAGGCAGAAGUCCUAGCAGAGUAUGCCCACGCUGGUUAGUGCUGCUGCAAAGAUGAGCCGAAGACCAUGAGAGACCUCCAGGUGGUCCUUCUGGGGAGAAGAAAUGGGUUUUGGCCCCAAAUCCUUCUGCUGCAUUUUUCCCCUAUCCCUGGGAAGCCAUGAGACCUCAAACCUGUGUUCCCAAGGAGGCGAGCUGCUGUUCCCAGGUGAUGAUAUGAUGUGCUUGGGGAAAGUAAGUGGCUGCCAGACAUGGCUGAGAGCUGUUGUCACUGCCGUCAAGUGCAUGUCUCCAAGCCAUAUCACACGGCGUCCCUCGAUGUGAGGCCACAUGGCAAGUGGGCCGUGGAUCUCCCUCUGCCCUUUGCAAGCACGUAAGACAGCAGAUUUUGCAGAUACCUUGUGGCGCAGGGGAAUUUCCUUUGGCCAGGUCUGAAGAAAUAAAGCAGCAGGCACCGAGAACAAAGCCAAGGCUUUCAAAAGACAAGGAGCCAAAAAACUUACUCAAAAUAAAAGUAGUUUUAAAAUGUC